UACGUAGGGGGCAAGCGUUGUCCGGAAUCAUUGGGCGUAAAGAGCGUGUAGGCGGUUUCGUAAGUCCGACGUGAAAGUCCAGGGCUCAACCCUGGAAUGCCGCUGGAUACUGCGGAACUAGAGUCCGGAAGGGGCGAGUGGAAUUCCUGGUGUAGCGGUGAAAUGCGCAGAUAUCAGGAGGAACACCUAUGGCGAAGGCAGCUCGCUGGGACGGUACUGACGCUGAGACGCGAAAGCGUGGGGAGCAAACAGG
rnacentral:rRNA from 1 species